AGCAGCGUGGCUCAGUGGAAAGAGCCUGGGCUUCAGAAUCAGAGGUCAUGGGUUCGACUCCCGGCUCUGCCA
rfam:Ornithorhynchus anatinus chromosome 4, whole genome shotgun sequence.